AUUGAACGCUGGCGGCAGGCCUAACACAUGCAAGUCGAACGAGUGGCGGACGGGUGAGUAAUGCUUGGGAAUCUAGCUUAUGGAGGGGGAUAACUACGGGAAACUGUAGAUAAUACCGCGUACCAAAGGCUGAGCCCAAGUGGGAUUAGGUAGUUGGUGAGGUAAAGGCUCACCAAGCCGACGAUCUAUAGCGGGUCUGAGAGGAUGAACAGCCACACUGGGACUGAAACCACGCCCAGACUCCUAAGGGAGGCAGAAGUGGGGAAGAUUGCGCAAUGGGGGAAAGCUGACGGAGCCAUGCCGCGUGAAUGAAGAAGGCCUUCGGGUUGUAAAGUUCGUUGGGGAGGGAUGCGUUAACUACAGAAGAAGCACCGGCUAACUCCGUGCCAGCCGCCGCGGUAAUAC
rnacentral:rRNA from 1 species